CCCUUAGAUGUUCUGGGCCGCACGCGCGCUACACUGUUCGACGCAGCGAGUCUUAACCUUGACCGAAAGGUUUGGGUAAUCUUCAGCAAAGUCGAACGUGAUGGGGAUCGAUCAUUGCAAUUAUUGAUCGUGAACGAGGAAUUCCUAGUAAGUGCAAGUCAUCAGCUUGCGCUGAUUACGUCCCUGCCCUUUGUACACACCACCCGUCGCUACUACCGAUUGAAUGGUUUAGUGAGAUCUCUGGAUUGACGCUGGCUAGGGGGCGACCCUUGGCCAGACUGUUGAGAAACUGCUCAAACUUGAUCAUUUAGAGGAAGUAAAAGUCGUAACA
rnacentral:rRNA from 1 species